rnacentral:rRNA from 1 species
GAUGAACGCUGGCGGCGUGCCUAAUACAUGCAAGUCGAGCGAACGGGCGAGAAGCUUGCUUCUCUGAUGUUAGCGGCGGACGGGUGAGUAACACGUGGAUAACCUACCUAUAAGACUGGGAUAACUUCGGGAAACCGGAGCUAAUACCGGAUGAUAUUUUGAACCGCAUGGUUCAAAAAUGAAAGACGGUCUUGCUGUCACUUAUAGAUGGAUCCGCGCUGCAUUAGCUAGUUGGUAAGGUAACGGCUUACCAAGGCAACGAUGCAUAGCCGACCUGAGAGGGUGAUCGGCCACACUGGAACUGAGACACGGUCCAGACUCCUACGGGAGGCAGCAGUAGGGAAUCUUCCGCAAUGGGCGAAAGCCUGACGGAGCAACGCCGCGUGAGUGAUGAAGGUCUUCGGAUCGUAAAACUCUGUUAUUAGGGAAGAACAUAUGUGUAAGUAACUGUGCACAUCUUGACGGUACCUAAUCAGAAAGCCACGGCUAACUACGUG